rnacentral:rRNA from 1 species
GACGAACGCUGGCGGCGUGCUUAACACAUGCAAGUCGAACGGAAAGGCCCCUUUGGGGGUACUCGAGUGGCGAACGGGUGAGUAACACGUGAGUAACCUGCCCUUGACUUCGGGAUAACUUCAGGAAACUGGGGCUAAUACCGGAUAGGAAUCCUUGCUGCAUGGUGGGGGUUGGAAAGCUUCGGCGGGUUUGGAUGGACUCGCGGCGUAUCAGCUUGUUGGGGGGGUAGUGGCUUACCAAGGCUUUGACGGGUAGCCGGCCUGAGAGGGCGACCGGCCACAUUGGGACUGAGAUACGGCCCAGGCUCCGACGGGAGGCAGCAGUGGGGAAUAUUGCACAAGGGGCGGAGGCCUGAUGCAGCAACGCCGCGUGCGGGAUGACGGCCUUCGGGUUGUAAACCGCUUUCAGCAGGGGCGAAGCUUGUGGUGACGGUACCUGCAGAAGAAGCACCGGCUAACUACGUG